UACGGGGGGGGCAAGCGUUGUUCGGAAUUACUGGGCGUAAAGGGCUCGUAGGUGGCCAACUAAGUCAGACGUGAAAUCCCUCGGCUUAACCGGGGAACUGCGUCUGAUACUGGAUGGCUUGAGUUUGGGAGAGGGACGCGGAAUUCCAGGUGUAGCGGUGAAAUGCGUAGAUAUUGGGAGGAACACCAGUGGCGAAGGCGGCUACCUGGACCGGUUCUGACGCUGAGGCGCGAAAGCGUGGGUAGCAAACAGG
rnacentral:rRNA from 1 species